rfam:Salmo salar isolate Sally breed double haploid chromosome ssa15, whole genome shotgun sequence.
AAAUGUCACUACUGUAAGUUGCUCUGGAUAAGAGUGUCUGCUAAAUGACUAAAA